rnacentral:misc_RNA from 1 species
UUUUGAAUACAAAUUUUUUUCCCUAUCCUUAUGGUAGUUAAUUUUGGAACUCUUGGUUACAUAUCUGCAAUUUGGCAGUUGUUUUUGUAAAUGAUUGUGAGUGUUUUUCUUUUUUGGAUGUAAUAUUAGUUGAUCAACAUCUUUUCUAUUCAUAUCUUCUUAUCCUAGCUUCAGUUUGCAGACUUCAUCAUUCGGCAUCCCCUUGCUCAAGUAGUGGUGAAUCCUUUAUAAU